rnacentral:rRNA from 1 species
CACGCCGUAAACGAUGAGUGCUAAGUGUUGGAGGGUUUCCGCCCUUCAGUGCUGCAGCUAACGCAUUAAGCACUCCGCCUGGGGAGUACGACCGCAAGGUUGAAACUCAAAGGAAUUGACGGGGGCCCGCACAAGCGGUGGAGCAUGUGGUUUAAUUCGAAGCAACGCGAAGAACCUUACCAGGUCUUGACAUCCUUUGAACGCUCUAGAGAUAGAGUUUCCCCUUCGGGGGCAAAGUGACAGGUGG